GAUGAAGAACGCAGCGAAAUGCGAUAAGUAAUGUGAAUUGCAGAAUUCAGUGAAUCAUCGAAUCUUUGAACGCACAUUGCGCCCGCCAGCAUUCUGGCGGGCAUGCCUGUUCGAGCGUCAUUUCAACCCUCGACUUCCCUUUGGGGAAAUCGGCGUUGGGGACCGGCUGUAUACCGCCGGCCCCGAAAUGAAGUGGCGGCCCGUCCGCGGCGACCUCUGCGUAGUAAUCCAACUCGCACCGGAACCCCGACGUGGCCACGCCGUAAAACCCCCGACUUCUGAACGUUGACCUCGGAUCAGGUAGGAAUACCCGCUGAACUUAAGCAUAUAAUAAGCGGAGGA
rnacentral:misc_RNA from 1 species